rnacentral:rRNA from 1 species
GGGUUGUGAGGUUAAGCGACUAAGCGUACACGGUGGAUGCCCUGGCAGUCAGAGGCGAUGAAGGGCGUGCUAAUCUGCGAUAAGCGCCGGUAAGGUGAUAUGAACCGUUAUAACCGGCGAUACCCGAAUGGGGAAACCCAGUGUGACUCGUCACACUAUCAUUAACUGAAUCCAUAGGUUAAUGAGGCGAACCGGGGGAACUGAAACAUCUAAGUACCCCGAGGAAAAGAAAUCAACCGAGAUUCCCCCAGUAGCGGCGAGCGAACGGGGAGGAGCCCAGAGCCUGAAUCAGCAUGUGUGUUAGUGGAAGCGUCUGGAAAGGCGCGCGAUACAGGGUGACAGCCCCGUACACAAAAGCGCAUGUGCUGUGAGCUCGAUGAGUAGGGCGGGACACGUGGUAUCCUGUCUGAAUAUGGGGGGACCAUCCUCCAAGGCUAAAUACUCCUGACUGACCGAUAGUGAACCAGUACCGUGAGGGAAAGGCGAAAAGAACCCCGGCGAGGGGAGUGAAAAAGAACCUGAAACCGUGUACGUACAAGCAGUGGGAGCCCCACCACCAAAGCAUUAUCUGGUGUUGAAGGCCCUGCAAAGCAGCAUCGCGGUGGCGGAGCGUCGUUUGCGACGCCCAACACACAAAACAAGCGGUGAAUGCUUUGGGGUGGGGUGACUGCGUACCUUUUGUAUAAUGGGUCAGCGACUUAUAUUCUGUAGCAAGGUUAACCGAAUAGGGGAGCCGGAGGGAAACCGAGUCUUAAUUGGGCGUUAAGUUGCAGGGUAUAGACCCGAAACCCGGUGAUCUAGCCAUGGGCAGGUUGAAGGUUGGGUAACACUAACUGGAGGACCGAACCGACUAAUGUUGAAAAAUUAGCGGAUGACCUGUGGCUGGGGGUGAAAGGCCAAUCAAACCGGGAGAUAGCUGGUUCUCCUCGAAAGCUAUUUAGGUAGCGCCUCGUGAAUUCAUCUCCGGGGGUAGAGCACUGUUUCGGCUAGGGGGCCAUCCCGGCUUACCAACCCGAUGCAAACUGCGAAUACCGGAGAAUGUUAUCACGGGAGACACACGGCGGGUGCUAACGUCCGUCGUGAAGAGGGAAACAACCCAGACCGCCAGCUAAGGUCCCAAAGUCAUGGUUAAGUGGGAAACGAUGUGGGAAGGCCCAGACAGCCAGGAUGUUGGCUUAGAAGCAGCCAUCAUUUAAAGAAAGCGUAAUAGCUCACUGGUCGAGUCGGCCUGCGCGGAAGAUGUAACGGGGCUAAACCAUGCACCGAAGCUGCGGCAGCGACGCUGAUGCGUUGUUGGGUAGGGGAGCGUUCUGUAAGCCUGCGAAGGUGACCUGUGAGGGUUGCUGGAGGUAUCAGAAGUGCGAAU